GGAAUGCCAUUUUAAUCGAUGCGAAUAAUUUGGAAUCACCGAAUCGAAAACCAGGCACGAUCAACGUAUAUAUUCCUGAUAAUCGUGAAAUCUAGGACCCUGAAGAAAAGAGCGCUCGAGGAUGCGUAGGAUAGGUUAGGACAUCGCUCCACUCCGAAGGACUCGCUGGCUCCGGAUUUUACGAUAUCAAACGACGUAACGAGUCGUGCUCUUCCCGACCGCCGCCCAUGGCCUCCCAUAUCAUGUAGUCCGUGUCACGACGAGUGCCGAUUUUAAGCGCAACCUUGAAAUCCUCCGCCCAAGGCCACGGUUACCCAAAGAUAAGAAAAUCCAUUCAUUUUGCAGAUGCAUAUAAUCGUUUUUAAAUCCGCAAAAUAUCGUCAGGUCUUCUUAAAAGCAAAUACGCCCCAUACAUCACUUUUUGCUGUCUCGCCCAGCGGUCCAAAUUUUAACAGCGGGUAACUAUCGUUUCAGGUAUGACAAAUCAUGGGAAAGGUGUGGAAAUCGAGAGUUCGCAUUAUUCUAAUCCUCGGCCGUUCAAGAAAUCCCGUAGAAAUAUUGAUUUGGCUCGAAGCGGAGGAACCGCGAACGGUCCAGGACGACGCGGGAUUAUCGAAGAAAGAAGCGCUUCGGGGUACGCGAGGAUAAGUAAGGAGUGUCGCUCGAUAUAACGAGGGGUCCAAGAAUCCGCGACUAAGAACGAGCAAGAGCCGCUUUUCGGGUGCACCAUGACGUCGGCGUAUUUCUCAAUGUGGCAGCUUUUUGCAUCUUGCGAAAAUAUACGUGCCAGCUAAAUAAGGGAUUAACGAGGAAACAGCGACCGGGCCGAUCGUCCGGGAUGGCGGGAAAGGGCGGUCUCGACCGGAUUCCUUCGGACGGAGUUCCGGUGGGUUCGUCGGUGGGUUCGUCGGUGGGUUCCUCGGUGGGUUCCUCGGUCGGUUCCAGGACGCGGGCCGGGAAAGGGAAGCCCAAAGGAGCCCGGAGGGACGCGGAGGGACGCCGAGGGAUAUGCGCUCGCGGCAGACACGGGGCCGCGGACGGGAAAGGGAGCUCGGACGCGGACGCCGACGCUGAAAUCAGCUCGGGCGAUCGAUGCGAUAAAUGGAUGCGUGCGAUUGGUAGCCGGGAAAAUCGAUGGCGAACAGGGGCCACGG